AUUGAACGCUGGCGGCAGGCCUAACACAUGCAGGUCGAGCGGAUGAAGGGAGCUUGCUCCUGGAUUCAGCGGCGGACGGGUGAGUAAUGCCUAGGAAUCUGCCUGGUAGUGGGGGAUAACGUCCGGAAACGGGCGCUAAUACCGCAUACGUCCUGAGGGAGAAAGUGGGGGAUCUUCGGACCUCACGCUAUCAGAUGAGCCUAGGUCGGAUUAGCUAGUUGGUGGGGUAAAGGCCUACCAAGGCGACGAUCCGUAACUGGUCUGAGAGGAUGAUCAGUCACACUGGAACUGAGACACGGUCCAGACUCCUACGGGAGGCAGCAGUGGGGAAUAUUGGACAAUGGGCGAAAGCCUGAUCCAGCCAUGCCGCGUGUGUGAAGAAGGUCUUCAGAUUGUAAAGCACUUUAAGUUGGGAGGAAGGGCAGUAAGUUAAUACCUUGCUGUUUUGACGUUACCAACAGAAUAAGCACCGGCUAACUUCGUG
rnacentral:rRNA from 1 species